UUGAGAUCAAUCAAACGAUGAAAAAGAGAGAUAUUGGCUCUAAGAGAUUGACAUCAAGGUUGAAAAAGGAGGCUGACCAAUAUCCAAGGACAUUUUUGAAGUUAUCGUCUAUUUGGUAAUUCCUAUUUUUUUAAAAUUUUUUGUGCUUAUUUUCAACUUAGUUUUUAAAAAGUGUGAAAAAUUUGAAUUAAGAUCAACGGUUGAUUCAUUAGUUAUUGAGGUUUGAAUCUGUUGUGGGAAUUACUAGGAUUUGAUUAAGGUUUUAUUUAAGGUUUAGAAUUUAAGGUUUAGUUAGGAUUUGAUUUAGAAUUUAGGAUUUGGUUUAGGAUUUGUUUAAGAUUCAGUUAGAGUUUGGUUUAGGAUUUAGUUAGAGUUUGGUUUAGGAUUUAGUUAGGAUUUGAUUUAGGAUUUGGUUAAGGUUUGGUUUAGGAUUUGUUUAGAAUUUGGUUAAGAUUUGGAUUAAGAUUUGUUUAGGAUUUAGUUAGGAUUUGGUUUAAGGUUUGUUUAGGAUUUAGCUUAGGGUUUAAGAUUUAGUUAGGAUUUGAUUUAGGAUUUGGUUUAGAAUUUGGUUAGGAUUUGGUUUAGGGUUUAGAUUUAUUAGGAUUUGAUUUAGGAUUUAGGAUUUGAUUUAGGGUUUAGGAUUUUAUUAGAGUUUGUUUAGAUUUUCAGAUUUAAUUAAUUUUGGCCUAAAAUUUGAAUGAAGUCUAAUAGGAUUUUAAUUAGGAUUAAAUUAAGAUUGAAUUGAAAUAUAUUUGAAAUAUAUUUGUGAUCAUUCUAAUAUUUUUUAAGAUUUCUUAUUAUUUCUUUGAAAUUUCUUUGAGGUUUCUUUGAAUUUGAUUAAAGCUUACUUAGUAUUAUUAUGGUCUAAUUAGAGUUUAGUUAGUAUUCUAUUAGAGUUAGGAUUUUGUUGUUACAAUUUCUAUUUUAUCUUCCACAAUUAGGUGCCAGAAGCAUUCUCAAGCAAG
rnacentral:lncRNA from 1 species